UAGCUUAUUUUUCUCUUCAUUGACACGUAAAUCUUUCGCUUUUUACUAAAGAGUUCCGUGGAGAGGAAUGUUAAUGAGUUCAACUUAUUUUUGCACAGACUUUGCUCUGGCAGAGCU